CCUACGGGGUGCUGCAGUCGAGAAUCAUUCACAAUGGGGGAAACCCUGAUGGUGCGACGCCGCGUGGGGGAAUGAAGGUCUUCGGAUUGUAAACCCCUGUCAUGUGGGAGCAAAUUAAAAAGAUAGUACCACAAGAGGAAGAGACGGCUAACUCUGUGCCAGCAGCCGCGGUAAUACAGAGGUCUCAAGCGUUGUUCGGAAUCACUGGGCGUAAAGCGUGCGUAGGCUGUUUCGUAAGUCGUGUGUGAAAGGCGCGGGCUCAACCCGCGGACGGCACAUGAUACUGCGAGACUAGAGUGAUGGAGGGGGAACCGGAAUUCUCGGGGUAGCAGUGAAAUGCGUAGAUAUCGAGAGGAACACUCGUGGCGAAGGCGGGUUCCUGGACAUUAACUGACGCUGAGGCACGAAGGCCAGGGGAGCGAAAGGGAUUAGAUACCCCGGUAGUC
rnacentral:rRNA from 1 species